GGCGCCGGCCGAGGCGCACCGCGUGCGCGCCUUCGCGCUCAACUGCUCGUGGCGCGGCGCCUACACGCGCUUCCCGUGCGAGCGCGUGCUGCUCGGCGCCUCCUGCCGCGACUACCUGCUGCCCGACGUGCACGACGGCGUGCGCUACCGCCUGUGCCUGCAGCCGCUGCCGCUGCGCGCCGAGCCCGCCGCCGCCGCCGCCCCCCCGGAGCCCGCCGCGCCCGCCGAGUGCGUGGAGUUCGCAGCCGAGCCGGCCGGCAUGCGGGAGAUCGUAGUGGCCAUGACGGCGGUGGGCGGCUCCAUCUGCGUCAUGCUGGUGGUCAUCUGCCUGCUCGUGGCCUACAUCACCGAGAACCUCAUGCACCCAGCUUUCGGGCGCCCCGGCCUGCGCAGGCAGCCCUGAAGCACCGGGCGGUCGCCCCACCGGGGCUCUGCCGGCCGGAGACUGGCGCCCGCUCCCCACUCCUCGCUCCUGCUCCCUCCUUAGGAUCUCCACGCAGGGCCUGCUGGAGACUGGUAGGGCCCCGGCCCCACGCCUGGGCCUCGGAGUCAUUGCACGACCUUUGGAGCCCGGCAGCUGCCUCCCAGACUCCAGCUCGGGACUCACCCUUGGGCCUGCGCAGGGGUGCCAGCCUCGUCUAGGGCUCUCCCUGCUUUCCAGAGGCCUUUAUAGGGGCCACCGGGACAUAACAGCCCCUUCUAGCAAGAGCCAUUGGAACCCCAGGUCAUCACCCUGCACCUCCAGCCUGUGCCAAGUUGGAAAAAACAGGCUGUCAUCAUUGCUUGGUCACUGUGUGCUUUGCCAACUGGAGGAGGCCCCUUGGAGCCUGUCCUCUCCCCACCUCACCCCAGUGGGCUUAGAUUAGCGUCGUGCCUUAGUGUCUUGGGCCCACUGCGGGAGCCAACCACCCGUCCUGUGCUGACCAAGGGGUUCUGUGGCCCUGGUCCUGGCCAGAGCCCCUUGAGAAACCUCCUUUCAAGCUUUGCAGGAGCCCCAAGUGUGGGUAAGGAGUGUGCGAUGGUGUUCCCCUACCUGGGUGACAGGCUGGGAACCAUGAUGUAGCGCAGCAGGUGAACCCCACCUGCACUUGCCAUGUCCAGGGCUGAAUGUUCUCUGACCUUCCGGGAAGCUGGCAGCUCUUCAGGGCUGCGUCUCAUUUUCUUUUGUGGGUGCUGCUUCUGAUGAGGGCUUUCAGUGAGUGGGGGCAAGUGGCUGGGAAGACGGCUUGUCUCAGAGGACAGUGUUGCAUCUGGAGAGCAGAAUUGAUGCCGGCCUUUCCCGGCACAACUUGCCACUGUGGUGUUUAUCCCAGGCCUCAACCACAGCAUGAUGGACAGCACCACUCCACCUCUUACUCGCGUUGGCAGCCAAGAGCCCAGGAUAUGGCUGGUGAUGCUGCUACCCACUGGACUGUCCCUUUCUGGGAAGACCCAAGCACCCUGGCCAAGGUUGCUCCUUGAGCUGGGCACCUGGCAUCACCAAGAGGGGUAAGGCACACCUCGGCUCUCCGCAAGUCCCUGACUGACCAUCCUGGACCUUGUACUUCUGGAGUCACUGUGGCUAACCCCUCUCCACCGUCACCCCAGC
rnacentral:lncRNA from 1 species